ACGCGCUGGCGGGACUCGGUGUAAUUCCGAACCGGCGGUGAUCCACGGUCCGACCGUGGUAAGCCCGCGACCCGGGAGCGGUUCGUCCGCCCGGUGGACCUGGUGAAACUCCGGGGCCGACGGUUGGGGCGGGCCUACCCGCCCCAGACAGUCCGGAUGGGAGACAGCGCGC
rnacentral:ncRNA from 1 species